rnacentral:rRNA from 1 species
UACGUAGGGUGCAAGCGUUGUCCGGAAUUAUUGGGCGUAAAGAGCUCGUAGGCGGUCUGUCGCGUCGGCUGUGAAAACCCGGAGCUCAACUCCGGGCCUGCGGUCGAUACGGGCAGACUGGAGUUCGGCAGGGGAGACUGGAAUUCCUGGUGUAGCGGUGAAAUGCGCAGAUAUCAGGAGGAACACCGGUGGCGAAGGCGGGUCUCUGGGCCGAUACUGACGCUGAGGAGCGAAAGCGUGGGGAGCGAACAGG